UUUAAAAGCAAAUGCAUGCAUUUUAUUACUAUGUAUAGUUGUCUUUGACUUUGCUUGAAAUAGUUGCGCGUCUACUGUGUCACAAAUACGAACGCAAUACGCAAUCGUUUAUGACGCUUGGAGCGCUCCAAUGUUCUUGCCGAAUUUUCCAAACUCACCAUUAAUGGGGGAAAUUCUGAACACAAAAUGUAAUAGGCCAGCUAGAUGAUGGUUUCCAUCGCCAAUAUGUUUGCUACCGCAAAUAAUGAUUUCAGCAACGGUGUGAAUGUCUCUUCUCGGCCUCCAUUCCUGGGUCUUGAUGUGGCAAUCCUUAUCAAGACCGUUGUGUUUUCAUUCUGCUCGGGCCUCAUACUGUGGUGCUUAUGGGAUCUAUGGAGAAGAAAGGAUGAAGACUUCGACGACACAGAUUUGUUGGACAUGCUGAAGGAUUUGACCACCCAGAGCUACACCCUAUACAGUAGCUGCUUAGACCAUGUGAGUGAACUGGAUGAUCUGCUGGAGAACAGAUCUGUGCACAAGGUCAGCUGUAGGAGCAGAAGACAGAGGAAGCCAAGGUGGCAGCGGUCUCCAGAUUCCUAUGUUGACUCAAGCUCAGGUUAUAGCCUUACUACUGAAUAUGACUCUGAAUUUGACUCUUUCUACGACAUGGCAAGUGAACUGGAUACAAAGGGAAAACCUUCAUUUUCCUCCAAAUGUCAUGUCGAGUUACCGUCUGACUGCAAACAGUGCAGGUCUAUGCACCUGUGUAACAACGAUGGUGGCAGGUGCGUCGACAUCAGGGUGGACACUCCAGAUUCCAGAAACGAAACCACCACCAGCAGUAAGACUGAGUACAGCUUUUGGCCUCUGAGCAUUAUGGGGUCAUCUGAUUUUAUCAGCUCAUUUAACUCCUGGUCCUCCCUCAGCUCCUCAACAUCCAGUCUAUCCGCUCUUGUGUCUGUAAGAUCUGAGAUGAGUGAAUCGAUCCAUGCUCCCCCAGUGGUUUCCAAGGAUGAGCCAUGCUCUACUAACAAAGGUCCUGCUGGCAGGUCAGAGUUGAAUAACCCACUGCCAGUAAAAUUGCAGGGGAUGCACAGUCUAGAGAACAGUAUCUGGAAAGAGGCCACAAAGAGGAUUCCUGAGCUUGUUGUCAACGUUGAAGAGGAAAAACAUCGAACUAUGGUGUGUGACAAAGUUACAGAACCCGAACAGCAAAAUGCAAAGACCCCAUUUCAAAAAAGUCUUGCCAUGUUUGAAUAUCUUAUCAAAAUCAAGGAAAAAUCUUUUGGCAAAUUAUCAAAAAUGAACUCUACUGAUAUAUCCCGGGUAGCCUUCAAUGAUCAGAAAGAUCAGAAAUGGGAAAAGAGGGACCUCUUGUCUAAGCCACAGGGAAAUGCUUGUCCUAACAGGUUAGUGAAGAAGCUAGUCGGACCAGGUAUUUGCAUUCCUAUACCCAGAGUGAAACAUGUUUUAUUCAUGGGAAAGGCAUCCAUUCAACUUCUUGAGAUGAACCUGAAACAGAAGCGUUUGGCAAAUGUAUUUGGAGCGCCCACCAUCUUCAGCAAGUCCAUGGAACUGAUCACACCCGAAGAAACUUCUCAGCCUAAGGAAGUGACAUCAUCAGAGGUAGAGUUGGAAUUGAAUUGCUCUAAGACACUUUUCAUCAGCAAAGAAAUUAGAGACAAGCUAGAGUUCCACAUCAAGCGCAAGAAAAUCCAACACCUCUGGGGUCUGCCUCAUGUGGUGACAAAGUCUAUUGAUGCCCUUAUUCCCAAGGCACCAAAGAUAGACCAUAGCAGAGUUUCCCCAAAGCCCAAGUAUGACAUAGAGGUGAUGACAAGUGACUUGCCAUUUUUGACUGACGAACAGAAAGAGGUUUUAGAGGGCAAUGUGAGGAAAAAGAAGGCUCACAAAAACUGGGGUUACCCAAAACGGAUAAUGGACUCUCUGAAGGCAUUUGAGGUUCCUGAGGGUGUAGCCAAAGACCUGUACAAGAGACAUCGCCCUGGAGCCAAAGUCCAACACCCCCAAGCGGCCUCUAAGAUUAAGGAUAUCCCUGUGGAGCCCAAAGAGCCUCAGACAUCAGCUACAUCCCAAACUAACAACCUCAAAGAAAUGAGUAAUAAACAACAGAACAACCAGAACAACUCCCAUAGCCUAUCAGAAUCCAGCACCGCUGAGAGUCAAGAAAGAGGAUUUCCCAAAGUCACUUUUGGGCCUUUUUCUAGGAAGUGUUUCCAUUCCGAGUAUCCAGUACUCACAACGUGUUUGAAAUGUGGAUCCAAUCAAAAUAAAUAUUCACUACACAAAGGCUCCAACGUGCACAGAGAGUUGAUAGCAAGGAGCACUGAAGGGGAGGGAAGAGACAAUGCAUCCCCAUCUCCACAGACACAGACUACCUGUCUGUCAGACCAGCCCUCAGUGUCAACUAGUAGACCCUGCAGGAAGGAACAUAUUUUUUAUCACUGAGUCCUGAAGGAAGAAACGUUUAUUUCCCUCAACAGGAGUCCUCUUUCUGAAGAAAUAAUCAUUUAUUUUGACCAACAUCAAAUAAAUACAGAUAUUAUUAUUUUGCAUUUAUCCCUUAAUUCUGUGCAAUAUUUUUAGGCGAGCUGGAGUAGUUUCAGAAAGUAAACACUAGGGGGACACAUUCUCUUAGGAUUUGAGCACUGAUCUAAAUGUACUAAACCAGAUUAUAUAUUUUUUUACUUUACCUUUUAUUUAACUAGGCAAGUCAGUUAAGAACAAAUUCUUAUUUUCAAUGACGGCCUAGGAAUAGUGGGUUAACUGCCUUGUUCAGGGGCAGAACAACAGAUUUUUACCUAGUCAGCUUGGGGAUUCGAUCUUACAACCUUUCGGUUACUAGUCCAACACUCUAACCACAAGGCAACCUGACGCCCCAAAUAUAUAAUAUAAGAUAUAAACUCUCCUACAAAUUUAUUUGGACAGCAGUGCUUAACUUGGACUGAAAUUGGUACCGGUACUCAUUUUGGGUGCCGGUACUAUAUAUAUCUAGUCCCCCCCAUUUGAAGGUGUCAUAAGUAUUUG
rnacentral:lncRNA from 1 species